rnacentral:rRNA from 1 species
GGGCCCGCACAAGCGGUGGAGUAUGUGGUUUAAUUCGAUGCAACGCGAAGAACCUUACCUGGUCUUGACAUACACAGAAUCUUGUAGAGAUACGAGAGUGCCUUCGGGAAUUGUGAUACAGGUGCUGCAUGGCUGUCGUCAGCUCGUGUCGUGAGAUGUUGGGUUAAGUCCCGCAACGAGCGCAACCCUUGUCCUUAGUUGCCAGCAUUAAGUUGGGCACUCUAGAGAGACUGCCCGGGUUAACCGGGAGGAAGGUGGGGAUGACGUCAAGUCCUCAUGGCCCUUAUGCCUAGGGCUACACACGUAAUACAAUGGUGCAAACAAAGGGAAGCGAGCAUGCGAGUGUUAGCAAAUCUCAAAAAUUGCAUCUCAGUCCGGAUUGGAGUCUGCAACUCGACUCCAUGAAGUUGGAAUCGCUAGUAAUCG